GGAGAAGUACUGUGACAUUUGGGAUUUCAAGUAGUUGUCAAGAGUAGUAGUAGAUAUGAGCUUGCAAAAACCAACCACGUUUCUAGGACGGCUAUCUGAUUCACCGGCCAUCUCAUCAAUCUUCUUUAUUAUUUUUUUUUUUUUUUCAGGUUUUUCCCAUUAACCCUACCAAACUUCCAAAUACUAUUUUCUGUAAGUUUUAAUAGCAUCAUUAUAUCUUUUAAAUCUUUGAAGAAAUAAUAGUGACAUGAUAUCUCAAAUAAGAUGAAUAGUAACUCACAUCUGAACCUAUAUUGU
rnacentral:lncRNA from 1 species